GACGAACGCUGGCGGCGUGCUUAACACAUGCAAGUCGAACGUGAUUUUUGUGGAAAUUCUUUCGGGAAUGGAAAUGAAAUGAAAGUGGCGAACGGGUGAGUAACACGUGAGCAACCUACCUUACACAGGGGGAUAGCCGUUGGAAACGACGAUUAAUACCGCAUGAGACCACAGAAUCGCAUGAUAUAGGGGUCAAAGAUUUAUCGGUGUAAGAAGGGCUCGCGUCUGAUUAGCUAGUUGGAAGGGUAAAGGCCUACCAAGGCGACGAUCAGUAGCCGGUCUGAGAGGAAGAACGGCCACAUUGGAACUGAGACACGGUCCAAACUCCUACGGGAGGCAGCAGUGGGGAAUAUUGCAAAAUGGGGGGAACCCUGAUGCAGCGACGCCGCGUGAGCGAAGAAGGUUUUCGAAUCGUAAAGCUCUGUCCUAUGAGAAGAUAAUGACGGUAUCAUAGGAGGAAGCCCCGGCUAAAUACGUG
rnacentral:rRNA from 1 species